AAGUCGUAACAAGGUUUCCGUAGGUGAACCUGCGGAAGGAUCAUUACCGAGUAUUGGGUCUUAGUGCCCGCACUCCAACCCUUUGUGUACCUAAAACUGUUGCUUUGGCGGGACCCGCGGUGUAAUGCCGCUGCUGGCUCACGCUGGUUAGUGCCCGCCAGAGAACCGUUAAACUCUUGUUUAUUCAGUGUCGUCUGAGCAAAAUUUAAUAAUCAAAACUUUCAACAACGGAUCUCUUGGUUCUG
rnacentral:misc_RNA from 2 species